AACCACUCUGAGCAUUAUGAAAAGGAAGUGAGCCGUUUUAUUGCAAUAGUGAAAAUGAGGCACCAAGUCAAUCACUUUUUAUCUACAUUACAACAAUAUGUGGAGUCACAGCUAUCACAUGUAUCAUGCUGCAGGUUUCUAUACUCAAGCAUAGGGUCAAAGAUAUGAUGGAUCUUACUCUUUCAUCUGCUGCAAUCUGAUGCUGGUUCCCUCCCAUUAGCUUGAGGGGGGAUGUUAAGGGUAAAAGGGGUAAAUUACCCCCAGUCAAGUCAAUAUAGGAUAUCUUGUUGUAAACAAAAAUUGACUGUAAUUUUCAUCAUCAUAGUUAUGUACGAAACUCUAUCUUUUUCUGGGUUUUUCCCUCAUCUUCUUCAAGCUUUCUUAUAACUCUAACAAAAAGCACAACCUACAAUUCACCUGGCUUGUUUUCUGGGACUGAAGAUCGAUCACCAAAACCAGACUGACGCCCACUGUUUUUUUAAAACCACCCUUCUAGAACCCUCGACCUUUCCUUUAAAACUAACAUACAGAUCGAGUCAGUAGCCACAAAACAAACCUAUUUCUCAUUUCCAAUCAUCGAUUUAGGUUUUGGUGAGAGAAUGGUAAGGGCAUAUCAGGCGUCUGGAGGCCUGGAAGAAGAGGUAGAUCAUAUAUGGUGCUCUUCUAUUGAACUUUCUGUUUCGUAAGAUUCAGAAAAUUGAAUCAAUGAUUUACCAGAUUGAGAGCAUAGUGCUACACAGCCAACUACUCAGAAGUCAAGUAUUUCUGUCAGUCAGCGGUUAAGCGGAUCACGAACACGAGUGUGGAACCUGUCUGGCAAGUGUGUUUUGGAGAUUUUGUUUAUUUGACUCCAGAGGAAUAUGAGAAGUCUGCGCAGGGGUUCAGUGUGUUUUGGAGGUCUUGAUGACCGAAAGGUCAAUUUAUUUAUUUGUUGUAUUUCUUAGUGUUUUUAAUUGUAGAAUCACAGCCUUGGAGGUUUUCGUUUUCUGGUUCUUUGUCAUUCAGCUGAUGAAUGAUGAUAUAUGAUGGCUUAAAUUCAGUUGGUCUGCUGAAUCCAA